rnacentral:misc_RNA from 1 species
UUUCCCGCUUCUCAAAUGCUCAGAUUGACUUGAGGUUCUAUCGGUGAUGGUUACGACCGGAAAAUCUGAGCUUUGAAAAACUCAAAAUUUUAUUUAUUCUCCUUCCUUUUUCAUUAACUUUUUAUUCUUUAUUUGGUUUCUUUUCCAUCUUCCUCUAACGUCAGAAGGGUAUUCAACAUCAUGGGCCACUUUCUCCUGUCUAACUUAUUUUUGGUGAUUUCCGCUGUCUGCUUGAUUGUUCCUUUUUCAAGUGCUCUAGAUGUGGAUUUUGCUUACCAUGACUAUCCUCAAAUGACUGCCAUACUUCGAAGAUUUAACCGAGAACAUCCUGAACUUACGAAGCUGUACUCGAUUGGUAAAUCCGUGCAAGGAAGGGAAUUAUGGGUAAUGUUGGUAACCAGCGAACCAAACACCGAACCUCUACUGAAGCCAAAUUUAAAAUAUGUAGCGAACAUGCAUGGAAAUGAACCUGUCGGCAGGGAAAUGAUGCUGCAUCUCUUGUCAUAUCUACUGACGAAUUACGGAAAAGACGACUACGUAACGUGGCUGCUCGACAACAACAGACUCCAUAUCAUGCCUUCCAUGAAUCCUGAUGGAUUCGAACUCUCCGUUGAGGGAGAAUGUUCUGGAACACAAGGAAGGGGCAAUGCAAAUUUCCAGGAUUUGAACAGGAAUUUUCCAGAUUAUUUCUCCAGCACUAACCCUGUAGCACAACCGGAAACAGCAGCCAUGAGAGAAUGGAUUACAAGCACACAAUUCGUUCUUUCUGCAAACUUCCAUGGAGGGGCUCUGGUUGCAAGUUAUCCUUUUGACAAUAUUCCGAAAAAUACCCCCAGUAAUUUCCGUAGAAUGUAUAGUGCUUCCGUCACUCCUGAUGACAAUGUGUUCAGACACUUGGCUGAGUCUUACUCCUUCAAUCACAAGAACAUGUAUUUAGGUGUUACAUGUAGGGACGGGAAUCCUCCCUUCCCUAAUGGAACAACAAACGGCGCUGCCUGGUAUGCCCUACAAGGAGGUAUGCAAGAUUUUAAUUAUGUUUGGGCUGGUUGCAUGGAAAUUACUCUUGAAAUAUCUUGCUGCAAAUAUCCGAAAGCUUACACUCUACCUCAGUUUUGGAAUGAUAACAAAGCUGCCAUUCUGCAAUACCUCAAGGAGGCACACCAAGGUGUUUGGGGACAAGUAAUUGAUCCUUCCAAAAGUCCUGUUUCCAACGCAACAAUUAGAAUCAAAGGGAAAGAAUUUGGCUCCAGAACUACAGCUAGAGGAGAAUAUUGGAGAAUACUACUGCCAGGCUCAUAUAUUUUACAAGUGGAAGCUCGAGGAUAUGAACCCACUGAAAUCCCAAUUGAGGUUACAAAAGGAGUUAUAAUACAAAACAUAACAGUGUAUCCAUUGGCCACCAAUGAAGCCAGAUCUGAGCUAAAUACAAGAAGCGGUCUCUUCCCCAGUACCUCUCCUGUAUUUAACUCUGGGUCAUCUUUAAAAGCCACCUGGCCUACAUUUACGGUGAUGGGUGGUUUCCAGAUUUUGGUGUUAAUCAUAGUCAACAGACUGAGUGAAUGGAAGUGUGGAGUGUGAAGUUUAAAUGUUUUGUGCUUCUCUUCAUCAUCAUUGUUAUUUAUUAUCAGAACUUAUUGAAGCCCAAGGAAGCUGUGAUAUUCCCUCAAAGAUAUGUGUAUCACCCUUCAUCUUAUUAUGUUGACCAGAAAUCGCCGCUAAAUCGUCUGCUUCUCGGCAGCAAUUAUGAUCUUCGUGGUUGAAAUGAAGUGAAGUGAUUAAACGAUAUUUCAUUUCAAAUAUCAAUGACGACUUAGGUCUGAUAUAGAAUGCACACAAAGAUUUUAUUUGUUUCUUAUGAGCUUCUGUUUAUAGAUCUCUAUGAAUGUAAUUUUGAAAUUGCAUCUGAAUUUAAAAGACUAUUUUGAUUUUA